GUGCUCACUUGGGCAGCACAUACACUAAAACUGGAAUGACCGAAGAUUAGCAAGGCACCUGCACAUGAAUGACAUAGAAGUUUGUGAAGCGUUCCAUAUAUAC